UUAAGCGACUAAGCGUACACGGUGGAUGCCCUGGCAGUCAGAGGCGAUGAAGGACGUGCUAAUCUGCGAAAAGCGUCGGUAAGGUGAUAUGAACCGUUAUAACCGGCGAUGUCCGAAUGGGGAAACCCAGUGUGAUUCGUCACACUAUCGUUAACUGAAUACAUAGGUUAACGAGGCGAACCGGGGGAACUGAAACAUCUAAGUACCCCGAGGAAAAGAAAUCAACCGAGAUUCCCCCAGUAGCGGCGAGCGAACGGGGAGCAGCCCAGAGUCUGAAUCAGCUUGUGUGUUAGUGGAACGGUCUGGAAAGUCCGACGGUACAGGGUGAUAGUCCCGUACACCAAAAUGCACAGGUUGUGAACUCGAAGAGUAGGGCGGGACACGUGGUAUCCUGUCUGAAUAUGGGGGGACCAUCCUCCAAGGCUAAAUACUCCUGACUGACCGAUAGUGAACCAGUACCGUGAGGGAAAGGCGAAAAGAACCCCGGCGAGGGGAGUGAAAAAGAACCUGAAACCGUGUACGUACAAGCAGUGGGAGCACCUUCGGGUGUGACUGCGUACCUUUUGUAUAAUGGGUCAGCGACUUAUAUUCUGUAGCAAGGUUAACCGUAUAGGGGAGCCGCAGGGAAACCGAGUCUUAACUGGGCGUUAAGUUGCAGGGUAUAGACCCGAAACCCGGUGAUCUAGCCAUGGGCAGGUUGAAGGUUGGGUAACACUAACUGGAGGACCGAACCGACUAAUGUUGAAAAAUUAGCGGAUGACUUGUGGCUGGGGGUGAAAGGCCAAUCAAACCGGGAGAUAGCUGGUUCUCCCCGAAAGCUAUUUAGGUAGCGCCUCGUGAAUUCAUCUUCGGGGGUAGAGCACUGUUUCGGCUAGGGGGUCAUCCCGACUUACCAACCCGAUGCAAACUACGAAUACCGAAGAAUGUUAUCACGGGAGACACACGGCGGGUGCUAACGUCCGUCGUGAAGAGGGAAACAACCCAGACCGCCAGCUAAGGUCCCAAAGUCAUGGUUAAGUGGGAAACGAUGUGGGAAGGCACAGACAGCCAGGAUGUUGGCUUAGAAGCAGCCAUCAUUUAAAGAAAGCGUAAUAGCUCACUGGUCGAGUCGGCCUGCGCGGAAGAUGUAACGGGGCUAAACCAUGCACCGAAGCUGCGGCAGCGACACUAUGUGUUGUUGGGUAGGGGAGCGUUCUGUAAGCCUGCGAAGGUGUGCUGUGAGGCAUGCUGGAGGUAUCAGAAGUGCGAAUGCUGACAUAAGUAACGAUAAAGCGGGUGAAAAGCCCGCUCGCCGGAAGACCAAGGGUUCCUGUCCAACGUUAAUCGGGGCAGGGUGAGUCGACCCCUAAGGCGAGGCCGAAAGGCGUAGUCGAUGGGAAACAGGUUAAUAUUCCUGUACUUGGUGUUACUGCGAAGGGGGGACGGAGAAGGCUAUGUUAGCCGGGCGACGGUUGUCCCGGUUUAAGCAUGUAGGCUGAUUGUCCAGGCAAAUCCGGAUAAUCAAGGCUGAGGUGUGAUGACGAGGCACUACGGUGCUGAAGUAACAAAUGCCCUGCUUCCAGGAAAAGCCUCUAAGCAUCAGGUAACAUUAAAUCGUACCCCAAACCGACACAGGUGGUCAGGUAGAGAAUACCAAGGCGCUUGAGAGAACUCGGGUGAAGGAACUAGGCAAAAUGGUGCCGUAACUUCGGGAGAAGGCACGCUGGUGUGUAGGUGAAGUCCCUGCGGAUGGAGCUGAGACCAGUCGAAGAUACCAGCUGGCUGCAACUGUUUAUUAAAAACACAGCACUGUGCAAACACGAAAGUGGACGUAUACGGUGUGACGCCUGCCCGGUGCCGGAAGGUUAAUUGAUGGGGUUAUCCGUAAGGAGAAGCUCUUGAUCGAAGCCCCGGUAAACGGCGGCCGUAACUAUAACGGUCCUAAGGUAGCGAAAUUCCUUGUCGGGUAAGUUCCGACCUGCACGAAUGGCGUAAUGAUGGCCAGGCUGUCUCCACCCGAGACUCAGUGAAAUUGAACUCGCUGUGAAGAUGCAGUGUACCCGCGGCAAGACGGAAAGACCCCGUGAACCUUUACUAUAGCUUGACACUGAACAUUGAGCCUUGAUGUGUAGGAUAGGUGGGAGGCUUUGAAGCGUGGACGCCAGUCUGCGUGGAGCCAACCUUGAAAUACCACCCUUUAAUGUUUGAUGUUCUAACGUUGGCCCCUGACCGGGGUUGCGGACAGUGUCUGGUGGGUAGUUUGACUGGGGCGGUCUCCUCCCAAAGCGUAACGGAGGAGCACGAAGGUUAGCUAAUCCUGGUCGGACAUCAGGAGGUUAGUGCAAUGGCAUAAGCUAGCUUGACUGCGAGCGUGACGGCGCGAGCAGGUGCGAAAGCAGGUCAUAGUGAUCCGGUGGUUCUGAAUGGAAGGGCCAUCGCUCAACGGAUAAAAGGUACUCCGGGGAUAACAGGCUGAUACCGCCCAAGAGUUCAUAUCGACGGCGGUGUUUGGCACCUCGAUGUCGGCUCAUCACAUCCUGGGGCUGAAGUAGGUCCCAAGGGUAUGGCUGUUCGCCAUUUAAAGUGGUACGCGAGCUGGGUUUAGAACGUCGUGAGACAGUUCGGUCCCUAUCUGCCGUGGGCGCUGGAGAAUUGAGGGGGGCUGCUCCUAGUACGAGAGGACCGGAGUGGACGCAUCACUGGUGUUCGGGUUGUCAUGCCAAUGGCACUGCCCGGUAGCUAAAUGCGGAAGAGAUAAGUGCUGAAAGCAUCUAAGCACGAAACUUGCCCCGAGAUGAGUUCUCCCUGAGACUUUAAGUCUCCUGAAGGAACGUUGAAGACGACGACGUUGAUAGGCCGGGUGUGUAAGCGCAGCGAUGCGUUGAGCUAACCGGUACUAAUGAACCGUGAGGCUUAACCUU
rnacentral:rRNA from 1 species